AAGAUUCGAACUUGACCUGUUCCGAGACACAAGGCGGAGUUCCUACGAAAAUCAAAUUAAAAUACACCAUUUACGGACACCGUUAUUAACAAUCUUUUACGUUAUCUAAUAACGUAAUUUAUUAGAUAAAUUAAUUACACGUCAUGUAUAAUUAAAUAUUAACAAGCAACCAACAGGAACUACGUGAUUAAAAAUUUCGCACCAAUUGUAUGUUGUGAAUCUCUUGUUCCAUCAAAAAGGAAAAUUGUUCAUCCGAUUUUUGUCUAACGGAACUAUUGGUAAUUCCCGAAUUGCAAAUGCGUGAAAGAGGGACUUGGGGAAGGGAGAACUGGAACCCGUGAACCGUGAAAAGGCACAACUACGACCCAUGACCUGUCGAAUGAUAUCUAACUUGUCUAUUUUAAAGGAUGUGUUCAAGACAACAUGUAACACAACAUUUUCUCAGAUAUGUCGAUUUAAAUGAAAUUUAUUCAUAAAUACAUUUGGCAUACGCUCCAUGUAUAGUUUAAUGUUUCUUUCAUACAUAUAUUGUUCUAUACUUCCUCCUUCGUAUUAUUAUUUAUUAUUAACAUUUCUAUACUAGUUCGCGUACAUGGAAAAUAAAAAAAAAUAUUUCGUGGGUAUCAAAUGUCAGAAUUCCUUAAUGUUUAGAACCUACAUAAAAAUUGUUAUUAUAAAAACUAACAUGAUAAUAAUGCGUAAUAAAAAUAUUCCUUCCAUUUGAUAUGUAGUAUUACAAAGUGAUGUUUAAUAUUGGCGGAUGCAACGUUACUAUUUUCUAUAUUUUUGUCGAGUAAACAUAUACAAACAAUGAUAUUAUAUUAUAACAACAUAUCUGUUCAUCCUGAUGCAACAUUUUAAUUUAUAAUAGAUACAGAUUUUAAAAUAUUACAACAAUCCUGCAUACUUUUUACAAAAGAUUAAAUUAUACAGUGUAUAUAAACAUAGAUACGAUCCGUUACAUAGUUCAUACAGUAUUUGUGAACGAUAUCGUGUAAGUCUUCUUUUCAUAAAUAUAAGUAUUUAUAACGGUAUAUUUAUGAUCGAGAAGAGGAUCGCGAUGUAUUCGUGUACCACGUAACAAGAUCAAUUUUCGUUCAGAAAAUUAUCUAAGCAAUAGUGUAUAUUUGUAACAGUCGUAGUCGUUUGGAAAGUUUCAACGUAGAGGUCAAUUUCACGGCUCGAUGCAGAAGCCAAGUCACGAGUGUGUUACUAACGACGAGCGAUUAUGACUCCCGCCAACGGGGAUAGAGAAAUGAGCAUACACGAAAUAGGUUAAGGUUCUUAGAAACAUUAUUUCCGUUAAGUUUUGCAAUUCGAAUAGUUCCAUUUUCGAAUAUGAAUAAAAGAAAAUCCAAUUUUGAAGCUCAAAUCUUUAAAGUAAACAUCGGAACGAUAUUGGAUCACCGAUGAUCGAUUAACGAUAGAUAUCGAUCCAGUGUAUGAGAUUGGUAAUGCUAGGUACACACACACACAACCGAUGAAAAAUAGAAUGGUGAGAAUGAAUAAGGUAAUUGCAAACAAUCGAAAAAGAACAGUU